CCAAAGGCAGGACGUUGAUCCUCCUCUUCACCUCCCCCAGGCGCUCAGAGUCACGGGUCAGAGCAACAGCAUGGCUGGGGAAGGACAAGAGAGAUGAAACACCUGAAGCUGGAAAAUGUCACAGCCCAGGAGUGUGCAACUUUCCAGCUACGUCUCCAAUCAGUUCCUGAGGACAAGAGGAGGAUUUCUGUCAGUGUCUCUGUAUUCUAAGCAAGAGACUCCACAUGAGCACAUCUCCCUGCCUGGAAGGGGCUCAGCUCGAGGAUCCUUGACUGUCUCCGUGUCUGUGCUGAUCCCUGCUGAAACAACGGGCCUGAGAGGACAGCAGGAGAGAGCCUACAGAGACUUCCAGAUGCACAGAGCAUCAUGAUGUCUACUGAGAACACCUCUUUGAACCAUUUUGUUGCCAGGUUCUUCCUCUUCUGCAGUCCCUCACUUUUAGUGCUUCUUUUGUCAUGUUAUCUUUUAUGGGUGUCUGUACUCCAGGCUUUGACAGGAGGUUGCUGAGGGUUUGAAAAAACAUUUGGCAGGGCCCUGUGUCACUCAGCACUGGCCAUGAGGAACAAUACCAGACAUUUGCUACUGGGAGCAAGAGGAAAUCUGUUCAGCU